rnacentral:lncRNA from 1 species
AUGAACUUUAAUAUAACAUAUUACCUUUUAUAUAUGCAGUUUCUAGGUACAUUUGAGAUAUUCAAAUUAUCGUACAUGUCCUAUGAUAACAUAAUAUUUAAUAGGGUAUUAUGCAAUACCACCUCCCUUAUAUAUAAUCCCUCGUAAAAUGACAUGGAUUAAAAUUUAUGACAAAAAUCCUAUUAUUCUAGCUAUCCAAGUAUACUUCGCCACUAAAUAACACACAACAGUUGUCCACUUUGAAAUUGUAGACUGAAAAUGUGGCAGCUAAAUGGCUAAUAGCUAUAUUUAUCAUGUUAAAUCUCAUGGCAAUUAGCAAGAACUCUCUUGUGAUUGUGUAGUUCAUGCUUGUUCAAUGAAGUAUUCACAUUAUUCCCAUUGUUCAUUGCCUACAGCAGCGCCUAGCUUUGCCUUUCUGAAGAAUGUCCUGUAUAUAAAACUUACCCACAUGAAUUUAUAAUGAAGUUCUAAUGUAAUUAAGUUAAAAAGUAAACCAUUUCUUAAACAAGUGAAGCAAUCACCAUUCACCAAACAGUCAAAUGUCUUCCAGGUAUGUGACAAUUCAUGAACCAACAAUAAUUAUGUCUAAUUAGCACUACUGCUUUUACUUUCAGAGUGAAUAUUGAGGGUGAUUUGACGUCGCCUGAGUUUGGGUUGUUGAAGCAUUUAACUUAAUACUAAUAGGUAGUAGGUCCUAAGUGGAGAGGGCUCUCAAGUAAUAUAGUGAGUUUCUAGAUCAAACUUAAUCGUGGGACUUUAACCCAAUACGCUAGCUCAUGUCCUCCACGCGGAGACGUCAAAAACCAAACAAAUAUGUAUCAAAUGAAAUUUGAGAUGUGCACCAUUAGGCCACAUGAAUAUGAAUAUGGAUUGUAAUGACAGAAACAAUAAAGACUUUAACUUUGACACCAUUCUGAAGAAUCCAACUUAAAAUCACUUUUUACUAAGCGCAAAGGCUCCUCAAGUAUGUAGAAUGAGUUUCUGGAUUAAAUUUAAUAACUCAACAUGGGUAGUCUUGGCAACGGGGUGGGUAUGGUCCGAAAACCCUUCCCAUUCCCUAUACCUGCCCCACCAAUGUUAUAUAUUCCCCAUACCUGACCCAGAUAAUGAUAUCACAUAGACCCAUACCGACCUUGUCCCGACCCGACUCCCAAUAUAUAUUAAAAAAAAUUAUCCUAUAGCUCUCAUCAUCAAGACACCCAUUAGUAACUUUUAAAAAAAAUGAAGAUAUUCAGUUACCCAACACUCAUUUCAAUACCCAAGCUUAAAACUAAAAAUUUAGAAAUGGCUAUUUUGAAAACACAUUCGAAGUUUUUCAAGUGAAAUGAUACAAGGUUAUUUAUGAAACUAUAUAUCAACAGUAUUUUGGUGACAAAAGAUUGGAUACAAAAAGAGGAUACAAAAUGAUGUAUAUGACAAUGAUUGGUUAUAACCAUUGGACUCGCUCAUGUUUACCGGAACAUCAACUAAUUAUAAUCCUAAACAUCAUUUUGUAUCCAAUUUUUUGCAACUUUCUUUUGUCACCAUAGCAUUACUUAUUACACACACGUAAAAUCGAGCUGGGUCGAGGACAGGGUGGAGGAAGAUAUUUCCAUUUCCGACCCUAAUCCUAUAGGGUUUCAGAAAUCGGGUCCCAAUAGUGGGGGCGGUCGGGUCCCAUCAGGGCCGGGUAAAAUUGUCAGACCUAAAUAUGGGUGAACCAUAUAAAAUUCAAUUUCUUGUAUGUGAUUAUUUAUAUAUUCGUCACAUUGUUAAUUGAUAGAGCGAUCCCAGAUCCCCUGUUAACCAACAACUGCAGUUGAUAAUAUGCACGAUAAAAUAUAAACUCUAUGAACUGAUGAGAGAUUAAAAGGAUAAAAAUCACAACACCACUGGUUUAGCUUUGUAACUCUAUGAAUUCUUGAAGUUGAAUUAAGAUUUACACAAAUAUGCAUAAGAAACACAUUUUAAUAACAACCUACAAAAAUAUUAAAUACCCACAUAACUGAACUUGACUGUGAAAAAUUGAAAAGUAGUAUAAAAACGAAGAACAGUCAUACCAUGUAGAUUUUUAAGCCGGAGGAAUUCCGGUCAGAUGGAGGGGAAAGAAGACAAUCACAGUUGAUUUUUCAGUAACCUAGUUAAACCAUUAAUCUCCUCGUCAAAAUAGAGUCCUGUGUUGAUUCUAAUUUUU